rnacentral:lncRNA from 1 species
AAGGUGUCAGCAGGCUUCUUCUGAGGCCUCCCUCCUUGGUUUGCAGGUGGCCGUCUUCACCUUGCGUCUUCACAAGGUCUACCCUCUGUGUGUGUCUGUGUCCUAAUUUCUUAAGAGACACCAGCUGACUGGAUUAAGGCCCACCAUGAGGACCUCAUUUUAACUUAAUCAGCCCUGUAAAGACCCUGUCUCCAAAUACAGUCACAUUUGGAGGUACUGGGAAUUAGGGCUUUGACAUGUGAAUGUUAGGGGGGACACAAUUAGACCCUUAACAGAGAGCUUUUAUGUGCUUUCCAUUUCUAUCCUUUCCUCCAUUUCUAUUGUAAAGCACAUCCUCUGUAGGCCUAUUUGAGCUGCUUCAAAUCCCACCCUUUUCUUUUUCCACUCAUUCAACAUCUAUUUAUCAAGUUUAUGUAUCAGGCUGUCUCAUUGUGCUUGGUGCUGGUGAUCACAGAAUGACUCCUGCGACUGAGAAGAAAUAGGUAUGUAAAAAAAAAAAAAAAAAAGUAGGAAGUCAGGCGCAGUGGCUCACACCUGUAAUCUCAGCACUUUGGGAGGCUGAGGCAGGUGGAUUACCCGAGCCCAGGAGUUUGAGACCAGCCUCGACAACAUGGCAGAACCCCAUUUCUACCCCCCCCAAUACAAAAAAUAAAAAUAAAAAUUAGCCGGUGUGAUGGUGUGCACCUGUAGUCCCAGCUACUCUGGAGGCUGAGGUGGGAAAAUCCAUUGAGCCUGAGAGAUGGAGGUUGCAGUGAGCUGUGAUCAUGCCACUGCACUCCAGCCUGGGCAACAGAGUGAAACUCUGUCUCACAGAAACAAAACAAAACAACUGUAAGAAGCCAAGAGGUGCCAUAGUGGAGGUAAGAAUAAAAUUUGUGGAGUUCAGAAGACAAGUGACUCCUUCUGCCUGGAAGCAGGCAAGUCUGAGAAGAGAAGAUGACAAGCAGUUCCUAAAAGGAUGGACAUGAGACUGGCAGGCAGAGAAAAUGGAGAUGACACCAUGCUAGAAAAGAGGAAUAAAAAAUCACAGAGCACAGGUGUGUGAAAGGGUUUGGCAUGGCCUCUGGUGAGGAGCUGGGGGAGUGAGCAUGAAUGAAACUGGAGAGGAGGCUGCAGCCAGACUAAGAAAAUUAGGACUUUAUCCAGAGUUUAAAACAUUUAACUAACAAGUUAUUAUAUCAAAAUCUAUGGCACUUGCUAUGUGCAAAGCACUGUUUUUAGGUUAUUUAGAUAGAUCCUCAGUUAAUUGUGCCUUAUUAAUUAGACUCUUAGCUCAAAGAUGGGACAUUCCCGUAAUACUUUAUUUGCAUUCCACGUGCCCCUCUCAUUGUCACUGUGAAGGAGUAAAUGAAAAGGAAUCGGCUUCUUUCCAAAGAGCUCUUGUCUCUAAGGGAUGCUUUGUAUCUGUCCAUGAAGAUGAAGAUACCUGCAUAUGUGGGUAUACACAAAACACUUUCCCUUAACUGCAUAUUUAAAUAUAUGGUUAAGGGAAAGUGUUUUAACGACUAGUGGACUUAUGCCUGCCUUGAGAAUUAUAAA